GGGGACAAAGUGACAGGUGGUGCAUGGUUGUCGUCAGCUCGUGUCGUGAGAUGUUGGGUUAAGUCCCGCAACGAGCGCAACCCUUAAGAUUAGUUGCCAUCAUUAAGUUGGGCACUCUAAGUUGACUGCCGGUGACAAACCGGAGGAAGGUGGGGAUGACGUCAAAUCAUCAUGCCCCUUAUGAUUUGGGCUACACACGUGCUACAAUGGACAAUACAAAGGGCAGCGAAACCGCGAGGUCAAGCAAAUCCCAUAAAGUUGUUCUCAGUUCGGAUUGUAGUCUGCAACUCGACUACAUGAAGCUGGAAUCGCUAGUAAUCGUAGAUCAGCAUGGUACGGUGAAUACGUUCCCGGGUCUUGUACA
rnacentral:rRNA from 1 species